rnacentral:rRNA from 1 species
GACGGGGGAUGCAAGCGGUUUCGGGAAUCACUGGGCGUAAAGCGUCUGUAGGUGGUGAUGCAAGUCACUGGUGCAAAACUCUGGCUCAACCGGAGGAAAGCCAGUGAAACUGCAUGACUAGAGUGUGGGAGAGGUAGAAGGAAUUCCCUGAGUAGCGGUGAAAUGCGUAGAUACAGGGAAGAACAUCGGAGGCGAAAGCGUUCUACUGGAACACAACUGACACUGAGAGACGAAAGCUAGGGGAGCGAAUGGG